ensembl:lncRNA
UAGUAUGCAUACUUAAGAUUCUAGUAGUUUUUUUGUUGUUGUUGUUAGUAUGCAUACUUAAGAUUCUAGUAGUUUUUUGGAUUCUAGUAUUUUAUUUUUUAAAAUUCUAGUAGUUUUUGUUAGUAUGCAUACUUACGAUUCUAGUGGGGUUUUUUUUGGAUUCUAGUAGUUUUUUGUUAGUAUGCAUACUUAAGAUUCUAGUAGUUUUUUUGGAUUCUAGUAGUUUUUUUUGUAAGUAUGCAUACUUAAGAUUCUAGUGGGGUUUUUUUGUUAGUAUGCAUGCUUAAAAUUCUAGUAGUUUUUUGUUAGUAUGCAUACUCAAAAUUCUAGUAGUUUUUUUGUUAGUAUGCAUACUUAAGAUUCUAGUGGGUUUUUUUUGUUAGUAUGCAUGCUUAAAAUUCUAGUAGUUUUUUGUUAGUAUGCAUACUUAAGAUUCUAGUAGUUUUUUUUUGUUAGUAUGCAUACUUAAGAUUCUAGUAGUUUUUUUGGAUUCUAGUAGUUUUUUUGUAAGUAUGCAUACUUAAAAUUCUAGUAGUUUUUUGUUAGUAUGCAUACUUAAGAUUCUAGUGGGUUUUUUUUAUUCUAGUAGUUUUUUUGUAAGUAUGCAUACUUAAGAUUCUAGUGUUUUUUUGUUGUUGUUGUUAGUAUGCAUACUUAAGAUUCUAGUGUUUUUUGUUGUUGUUGUUGUUAGUAUGCAUACUUAAGAUUCUAGUGUUUUUGUUGUUGUUGUUGUUAGUAUGCAUACUUAAGAUUCUAGUAGUUUUUUUGGAUUCUAGUAUGUUUUUUGUAAGUAUGCAUACUUAAGAUUCUAGUAGUUUUUUUUUGUUAGUAUGCAUACUUAAGAUUCUAGUGGGGUUUUUUUGGAUUCUAGUAGUUCUUUUUCUAAGUAUGCAUACUUAAGAUUCUAGUAUUUUUUUGGAUUCUAGUAGUUUUUUUGUUAGUAUGCAUACUUAAGAUUCUAGUAUUUUUUUGGAUUCUAGUAGUUUUUUGUUAGUAUGCAUACUUAAGAUUUUAGUGGGGUUUUUUUUGGAUUCUAGUAGUUUUUUUUGGAAGUAUGCAUACUUAAGUUUCUAGUAGGGUUUUUUUGGAUUCUAGUAGUUUUUUUUGUAAGUAUGCAUACAUAAGAUUCUAGUAGUUUUUUUGGAUUCUAGUAGUUUGUUUUUUUAUUUGUAAGUAUGCAUACUUAAGGUUCUAGUAGUUUUUUGUUAGUAUUUGUAUAUAUUUUUGUACCAUGUACGUUUUAUGUUUCUAUGCUUAAACACUUCUUUGUAUUAGUAGAUCAGGGUUAAAUGUUGGGUAAGUUAGUGUUUUUUUACGGGCUGAAAUUAGAAAUAAAUAUGUAAUUUGUGAAGAGUUUCAUUCGUUGCUGGAUUAGCACACACAGCCCACCUAAGAGACUGUUCAGUGAUAAUGGUGGAGAGUUGAACAACGAGGAAAUAAGGGCCAUGGCAGAAAAGUUCAACAUUGAGGUAAAGACCACAGCAGCAUAUAGUCCCUGAAGCAAAUGGUCUUUUAGAGAGACACAAUCAGACCCUCACAGAAAUACUGAUGAAAGUUUAAAAAAAAAAAAAAAAAAGACAAUAAAUAUGACUGGAAAACUGCCCUAGAUUGGGCAUUGAUGGCAAAAAAGUCCAUGCACAAUGUAUAUGGAUUUAGAUAUCAACUUGUGUUUGGAUAAAAUCCAAAUCUACCCUCAAUCUACCAAAUCUACCAAGAGUUGUUAUGGCAGUCACAUGUCAGAAGGUGAACUCCAUAGAUAUCAAAGCCGCUUUUCUACAGGUAAGAGAGUUGAUUAGAAAUGUCUACAUUUACCCUCCUCUAGAAACGCACUGCAAAGGAACCCUGUGGAAGUUGAACAAAUAUGUGUAUGGUUUGGUAGAUGCCUCUCUGUACUGGUACAACAAGCUCAAAGAUACUAUGCAGCAGCUGGGAGGUCACGUGUCACCGGUUGACCCUGCAGUGUUCUACUGGCUGAAUGAUGGUGGUGAGUUGACUGGUUUCUUGCCUCUCACAGUGAUGAUUUUUUUUUGUGGGGUGGUUCUAAAACAUUUUCCUCUUUGGACAUCCCACACUGGAAAACUGCUUUCCAAGAUGGACAUGAAGAGCACAACAGCUUCAGUUAUGUACAGGAGGAAUGGAAAUCUCUUCUGGAAAUGGAGAGAUACAUGUACACCAAAGCACAUAUAUAAAGAGUCUUCAGCCCAUUGUUAUAGAUCCGGACAGAGCUGUGCAACGUAACGCUCCACUGACAGACCGUGAGACUGACAUGCUGAGGUCUAAGAUCUCGCAAACAAGCUUAUCAGAAAACUAAAGUCAGGGGAAGUG